GAAACAUUAACUCGGACCAGUCACUGCUUAUUGACAUCUGGCUCCAACAUGGCAGUAUCAGUAUUGCAAAAACAUUGUAACUGAAUUGACUUACUUUGGUUGGAGCUGGAGAUGUGCCGUGAUGCUGGAAUCAACGCAGAGCAGACGCAUCUCCUUCCAACAGCCGGGACCUGCAGCAAGCAUUUCAAUGAGGGAACCCGACGCAAACCUGCAAGCCCACAGCUGACAGAAUCAUCUGGACAAAUGGGCAAUUCUCUGUCUCUCAAGUACCAUCUUUGUGCAGGGUCCAGCUCGUGGAGACCGGUUCUGACGAGUAUCCGCAGGUGCUGGAUUCAAAGUUGCAUGAGCCUGGCAGAAGCUGGCUUUGGGCUCGGACGGCGCCUGUGAGGGAUGGAAAAGUGAAGGAAGAGGUAAUGGCAAGAAUGAAUCAUCAUCAUUACCAAAACGCAGAGCAAAGGAACUCACCAGCAAAAGCUAAAAGACAGAUGAGCAGCAUUCUAUCUUUCUGUGGAGAACCUGCAGCAACAGAAGAGUUUGCAUCUGCAGAGAGGAAAGAAGUUUCAGGAAAAGUUUGUUUUCAAAGACCGAGCGUCUCUGUGGCACCCUGAAGCCUGCAGGGAGGGGGAGGAGGAGGAGGAGGCUGAGAGGAAGAAGAAGAGGAGGAGGAGAAAAGCAAAUAGCCGGGAGUUAGACAGAAAUGAAAUGGAAGGGGGCUGGUGUGACGCAGCCUCACAGCAUGAAACCAUCAGCUGGAGGGGCUGCAGAGUGAGGACACGGACUCUGAGGCCUCGCCCCUCUGUCCACGAGGGAGAAGGCAGGGUGGGCUCAAGAAACUGCUUCUAACCUUCAGUCAUCUGUUGCUCAUCUGGGGGGAAAGUGCCAAACACUUCGGAAACAACGAGAAAAAGACAUUUCUCACCCCUUCAGGCUUUGACCAGCUCCUUUCCAACCACUUACCCACCUAGAAGUGUAUUUGGAUCGGGGUGCACCCAACUCCUAAGGUCUCUUGGAUGAAGACGAGAAGUUUGUCGUUUCCACUCACAGCACUUCAAAAAAACUGAUAUUCUGCGUCAGGACUGAGCUAUCGCUCCCAUCAGCAAUCUGCUGUAACUUUUUACGCUUCUCACGCAGCUGGCUCCCCUUUGGACAGACCAACUUUGUUCAGGAGCAAAAGUUAAUAGAUGCCAGACACCGAGCAAAAAAGCAAGAAGACCAAAAUCUUUCCUCAGAGAAAAAACAAAAAACAAAAACAAGGGUUUUGUUUGGAAAUCAGGUUCCUGAGUGAAGGACGUCCAGCAGUCCAGUGUCUGCAGAUAUGAAAGUGUUCUGAGGAAAAACUCAACAUUUGUGCUCCAUCUGUCUGUCAAAGUUGGGCAGGUUCCUGUCUCUCUAUCGCCCUCUUCUGUUUGUCCCUGCUAUUACAGUCCUCUGUCCUUCA